CACAUCUUUUCCAAAGAUGGUGGUUGCGGGACACUUUUAAGGUUCAUCGUCGUGAACUAUUUAUAUUUGUUCUCCGUUAAUGUUAAGUGAACAGGACUUGCGAGUUGCGGACUUGCGGUCCGCAUUCUUUUUUAGUACGAUUACUUCGUUUACUUCGUACCCUGAUGGGUAGGAUAGACUGGAAGGUUUGGCGGUAACUUUCUUGGUAUUUGGUGGACGACGAAAGCCUUAGUGGAAUAUGACUGGACGAGACAUGCCUAUGGCAUACUUAGGAGUUCCAGCCUUUCGGUGAAAAUCUUUCAGUUAUUAGGUUUUUCAGUGAUUGGUAUUUACCUAAAGUUUGGAAGCGAAACUGUCCUCUUCAGCGGUUAUUUGACAGGGAGUCAACGAUUAGCAAUACUGGAGCGUAACGACUGUUAAACCAUGAUGUAGGUGCUGCCGGAGGGUGUGAUUUUUAUUAAUUUUUUAUUUAUUUUUUAAGGAGCGUCCGUGAUUUCUAAAAUGCAUUUGGCUUAGAGAAUUUUUUUAUUUUUAUAGAUGUUAAAGGAUUAAAUGUAAUUCGCCGCACUUUAAUUGCAGAAACACCAUUUUUGAAUAGAAUACAGAUCUGUAAUUCCCUUAAACUUUUCGUGAGUUGUUCAGAUAGGAGAUUGUUAGAUUUAUGGAAUUAAUUUAUUUUUAAAACUAUGCAUUUAUAAUCUGUUGAAUUUCUUUAUCCUUUAAAUUAGAUCUCUGUAUUUGUACUUUUGAGUAUAUGUACUCUGAUUUUUGUUGAAUUUCUUUACCCGUUAAAUUAUAUCUU